UACAGAGGUCUCGAGCGUUGUUCGGAUUCAUUGGGCGUAAAGGGUGCGCAGGCGGUGUGGCAAGUCUGGUGUGAAAGCUUGGGGCUCAACCCCAAAAUUGCAUUGGAUACUGCCAUGCUUGAGGACUGUAGAGGAGAGUGGAAUUCACGGUGUAGCAGUGAAAUGCGUAGAUAUCGUGAGGAAGACCAGUUGCGAAAGCGACUCUCUGGGCAGUUCCUGACGCUCAUGCACGAAGGCCAGGGGAGCAAACGGG
rnacentral:rRNA from 1 species